GUAACACUGUAUAAACCUGUAAGUUGGUAAAGAAUAUCUAUUUCCAACGGUGUAACUUGUCCAAAUCGGAUUGCAGACUGUGUAAAUUCCUCUUUUGUGACUUCAACAUCUUUUCUUGUACCUGCUAUAUUACUAUAUAUCUUCCUAACAAGAUCCAUGUUAUUCAAAAGGGCAUUAAAUGCAUUGAAGUAGGAGAAGCUGACCUGAUGUGAAACAGUUCCACCAGCUACCGAAACUAAAUUUUCUUCCACAAAUGGUGUCAGCAUAUGGGAGUGAAGGGUAACCAUGACAUCACGGAAGUCCAGC
rnacentral:lncRNA from 1 species